UUCCCAAGCGGAGACAAGGAACCCCCAAGAAUCAACAUUUUUAUUGGGAAAAUGCCCGCCCACUGUCAGGUCUGGGGAGGGGCCGCCGGUCUGCCUCCUUACUCCUGUAGAGUUCAUUUUCGGGAAACGUCCAGAGAAGAUGCCCAGUCUUCCAACUCCCUGAUCCACUGCAGAUCUGACACAUGGUGACCUCAGCCCAGAGCACCGGGUUUCCAGGGCAGUCUUCUAUCCAGCUACUGUGAGACUGAACAGAGCAGCACAUUCAGGAUGGCCAUCCUCCACAUUAAAUUUGAAAAGCUCAGCGAGGUCCUCAUAGGGCGGCGUCUUGAACACGAUGGCAAUCUGGCGGUGCACGUCGGCCUGGGAGAAGUCGGCCCGGCCUUCCCAGGAGGCUGUGCUGAACACCACCGAGAUGUCCUCUGGAGGGAGAAGGAGAUGCCAGUGGGGAUGGGUGCCCUCUGAGCUGAACCGGCUCAGCCUCCCUCAAAAUCAGCCCUCAUAUUCCCAACGUGAAGCUAAUCACCUGGCAGGCAGAGUUUCACUAAGUCGCCGAGGCCCUCACUAAAUUGCUGAGGCUGGCCUUGAACUUGAGGUGCUCCUGCCUUAGCCUCCUGAGUCACUGGACUACAGAUGUGCAUCACUGCACUCAGCUCUAAGAAGAGCUUUUGAAGGACAGAGGUCUCAGAUCUGCAAUGUGCACUCUUUUCUGCACACCCUCGUCAGAACGGGAAAACCAAGGCUUGGAGGCACUGAGGCGUCCCACAGCUGCUCGUGGGAAGUCGGGCUCACGAGACGCCUGCCUGUUUCUUUUUCGUAUCUCACUGAAUUGCCUCUCGACACACCAGCAGCCAGUGCUGAGGUUCUAGGUGACAGAUACAUACAGGUUGCUCUGUGUCACACAAAAACCCUAUGAAGAAGGUGCCAUUAGGUACCCUGUUAUAUAGAGAAGGAGAUAAAGAUACAGAGCGGUGAAGUCAUCUGUCCAAUGUCACACGAUCAGCGAGCAGUGGAGCCUCAAUGGGGACCCAGGAUGCCACAGCUCUUCCCACCAGCUCUGCCAGGGCCCGAGGAAGGCAGUGGCUUUGCUGAGAGCAGUCUCCUCGCUGUGACAGGAAAGUCAGACGACCUCAGGGGUUGCUGAGAAGAGCACGUGAGUCGGCCCAGGACGCCAAGAGCAUGACUGUUGUCACGAUCAGUGCUAUGAUCAUCACCAUCGCCUCAAACACGACUCUGGAAAAUGACUUUUCUCCAGAUGUUUUUUCAAAUCUGCUUCCUUCCCUCAUUUGAAAAAAAAAGUACUAAAUAUUAUUUUUACCAACUUCCUGUGAUUUUUCUCCAACUCUAUAUUUUAUUUUUCCUCCUAGAAGAAACGCUGAUGGCAACAGCAGAGCAC